GACGAACGCUGGCGGCGUGCUUAACACAUGCAAGUCGAACGCUGAAGCUCAGCUUUUGUUGGGUGGAUGAGUGGCGAACGGGUGAGUAACACGUGAGUAACCUGCCCCCUUCUUUGGGAUAACGCCCGGAAACGGGUGCUAAUACUGGAUAUUCACUGGUCUUCGCAUGGGGGUUGGUGGAAAGGGUUUUUCUGGUGGGGGAUGGGCUCGCGGCCUAUCCGCUUGUUGGUGGGGUGAUGGCCUACCAAGGCUUUGACGGGUAGCCGGCCUGAGAGGGUGACCGGUCACAGUGGGACUGAGAUACGGCCCAGACUCCUACGGGAAGCAGCAGGGGGGAAUAUUGCACAAGGGGCGCAAGCAUGAUGCAGCGACGCCGCGUGAGGGAUGGAGGCCUUCGGGUUGUGAACCUCUUUCGCUCAUGGUCAAGCCGCAACAAUGGUUGUGGUGAGGGUAGUGGGUAAAGAAGCGCCGGCUAACUACGUG
rnacentral:rRNA from 1 species